rnacentral:rRNA from 1 species
GUGAGAAAUUUAACGGCCGCAGUUAUCCUAACCGCGCGAAGGUAGCAUAAUCACUUGUUCUUUAAAUAGGGACUCGUAUCAACGGCACCACGAGGGUCACACUGUCUCCCCUUUCCAAUCAGUGAAACUGAUCUCCCCGUGAAGAAGCGGGGAUAAACCUAUAAGACGAGAAGACCCCAUGGAGCUUUAAAUCUCACAGCAACUCUGCCAUACAAUCCCCCAUAGUCAACAGAGCCCUGCAUGUCGACUUUAGGUUGGGGUGACCACGGAGAAAAAAUUAUCCUCCACGACGAAAAGAACUAAACCUUUAUCUAAGAGCAACUCCUCUAGGAAUUAGCAUACUAACGUUCAAUGACCCGAUAAUCGAUCAACGGACCAAGUUACCCUGGGGAUAACAGCGCAAUCUACUUCAAAAGCCCAUAUCGACAAGUAGGCUUACGACCUCGAUGUUGGAUCAGGGUAUCCCAGUGGUGCAGCCGCUACUAAUGGUUCGUUUGUUCAACGAUUAAAACCCU